rnacentral:rRNA from 1 species
UGGGGAAUUUUCCGCAAUGGGCGAAAGCCUGACGGAGCAACGCCGCGUGAGGGAUGAAGGCCUCUGGGCUGUAAACCUCUUUUAUCAAGGAAGAAGAUCUGACGGUACUUGAUGAAUAAGCCACGGCUAAUUCCGUGCCAGCAGCCGCGGUAAUACGGGAGUGGCAAGCGUUAUCCGGAAUUAUUGGGCGUAAAGCGUCCGCAGGCGGCCCUUCAAGUCUGCUGUUAAAAAGUGGAGCUUAACUCCAUCAUGGCAGUGGAAACUGUUGGGCUUGAGUGUGGUAGGGGCAGAGGGAAUUCCCGGUGUAGCGGUGAAAUGCGUAGAUAUCGGGAAGAACACCAGUGGCGAAGGCGCUCUGCUGGGCCAUCACUGACGCUCAUGGACGAAAGCCAGGGGAGCGAAAGGGAUUAGAUACCCCUGUAGUCCUGGCCGUAAACGAUGAACACUAGGUGUCGGGGGAAUCGACCCCCUCGGUGUCGUAGCCAACGCGUUAAGUGUUCCGCCUGGGGAGUACGCACGCAAGUGUG